GAUGAACGCUAGCGACAGGCUUAACACAUGCAAGUCGAGGGGCAGCACAGGUAGCACUACCGGGUGGCGACCGGCGCACGGGUGAGUAACGCGUAUGCAACUUACCUAUCAGAGGGGGAUAACCCGGCGAAAGUCGGACUAAUACCGCAUGAAGCAGGGGUCCCGCAUGGGGAUAUUUGCUAAAGAUUCAUCGCUGAUAGAUAGGCAUGCGUUCCAUUAGGCAGUUGGCGGGGUAACGGCCCACCAAACCGACGAUGGAUAGGGGUUCUGAGAGGAAGGUCCCCCACAUUGGUACUGAGACACGGACCAAACGCCUACGGGAGGCAGCAGUGAGGAAGAUUGGUCAAUGGCCGAGAGGCUGAACCAGCCAAGUCGCGUGAGGGAGGAAGGUUCUAUGGAUCGUAAACCUCUUUUAUAAGGGAAUAAAGUGCGGGACGUGUCCCGUUUUGUAUGUACCUGAUGAAUAAGGAUCGGCUAACUCCGUG
rnacentral:rRNA from 1 species